rnacentral:rRNA from 1 species
UACGUAGGGGGCUAGCGUUAUCCGGAAUUACUGGGCGUAAAGGGCGCGUAGGCGGACAGUUAAGUCAGAGGUGAAAGCCCAGGGCUCAACCUUGGAACUGCCUUUGAUACUGGCUGUCUUGAGUUCGGGAGAGGUGUGUGGAACUCCGAGUGUAGAGGUGAAAUUCGUAGAUAUUCGGAAGAACACCAGUGGCGAAGGCGACACACUGGCCCGAUACUGACGCUGAGGCGCGAAAGCGUGGGGAGCAAACAGG